rnacentral:lncRNA from 1 species
AACAAUUCACAGUUCUUAAGAAAAUGAUUGGAUGUGUUGCUUUUGAUGAUAAAACUAAUACCAUUGAGUGGAAUACCCCUAUUAAUUGUAGUUAAAAAAGUUGUUGGAUAAAGUGAAAGUUAAUAAAUAUGGAUAUGAUAAUGGAAAAAAAUAAUAAUAAAUGCUGCAUUGAUAUUGUAAAAGGAUAAUUAUUUUGAGGCAAAAUAAAAGUGAAAAUAAGACACUUUUUAUGAGAUGGAGGGAGUAGUAAUGAGCUGAGAAAAAAA